GCCUUCGUAGUGUCAGCACUCUCGGCUCGUAUUCGAGAGUUCCGUGGUUCGAAUCCCGGCGAGGGCA
rnacentral:tRNA from 1 species